CAGCCGCCGCGGUAAUGCGGAGGGAGCUAGCGUUGUUCGGAAUUACUGGACGUAAAGCGCACGUAGGCGGCUUUGUAAGUCAGAGGUGAAAGCCUGGAGCUCAACUCCAGAACUGCCUUUGAGACUGCAUCGCUUGAAUCCAGGAGAGGUGAGUGGAAUUCCGAGUGUAGAGGUGAAAUUCGUAGAUAUUCGGAAGAACACCAGUGGCGAAGGCGGCUCACUGGACUGGUAUUGACGCUGAGGUGCGAAAGCGUGGGGAGCAAACAGGAUUAGAUACCCCCGUAGUCCCUGUCUCUUAUAA
rnacentral:rRNA from 1 species